rfam:Asian citrus Psyllid, Diaphorina citri - Florida Strain, whole genome shotgun sequence.
UUCUAAGUCAGCUUAGUUGGUAGUGCGUCUGCCUUGUAAGCGCUAGGCCGCGGGUUCGAUUCCCGCCCGGGGAG